rnacentral:rRNA from 1 species
UACGGGGGGGGCAAGCGUUGUUCGGAAUUACUGGGCGUAAAGGGCUCGUAGGCGGCCAACUAAGUCAGACGUGAAAUCCCCAGGCUUAACCUGGGAACUGCGUCUGAUACUGGAUGGCUUGAAUUCGGGAGAGGGAUGCAGAAUCCCAGGUGUAGCGGUGAAAUGCGUAGAUAUCUGGAGGAAUACCGGUGGCGAAGGCGGCAUCCUGGACCGACAUUGACGCUGAGGAGCGAAAGCUAGGGGAGCAAACGGG